AGUCGAGGGGCAGCAUGAUUUGUAGCAAUACAGAUUGAUGGCGACCGGCGCACGGGUGAGUAACGCGUAUGCAACUUACCUAUCAGAGGGGGAUAGCCCGGCGAAAGUCAGAUUAAUACCCCAUAAAACAGGGGUCCCGCAUGGGAAUAUUUGUUAAAGAUUCAUCGCUGAUAGAUAGGCAUGCGUUCCAUUAGGCAGUUGGCGGGGUAACGGCCCACCAAACCGACGAUGGAUAGGGGUUCUGAGAGGAAGGCCCCCCACAUUGGUACUGAGACACGGUCCAAACUCCUACGGGAGGCAGCAGUGAGGAAUAUUGGUCAAUGGCCGAGAGGCUGAACCAGCCAAGUCGCGUGAAGGAAGAAGGAUCUAUGGUUUGUAAACUUCUUUUAUAGGGGAAUAAAGUGGAGGACGUGUCCUUUUUUGUAUGUACCCUAUGAAUAAGCAUCGGCUAACUCCGUGCCAGCAGCCGCGGUAAUACGGAGGAUGCGAGCGUUAUCCGGAUUUAUUGGGUUUAAAGGGUGCGUAGGUGGUGAUUUAAGUCAGCGGUGAAAGUUUGUGGCUCAACCAUAAAAUUGCCGUUGAAACUGGGUUACUUGAGUGUGUUUGAGGUAGGCGGAAUGCGUGGUGUAGCGGUGAAAUGCAUAGAUAUCACGCAGAACUCCGAUUGCGAAGGCAGCUUACUAAACCAUAACUGACACUGAA
rnacentral:rRNA from 1 species